UACGUAGGGCGCAAGCGUUGUCCGGAAUUAUUGGGCGUAAAGAGCUCGUAGGCGGUCUGUUACGUCCGCUGUGAAAACCCAGGGCUUAACCCUGGGCUUGCAGUGGAUACGGGCAGACUAGAGGCAGGUAGAGGAGAAUGGAAUUCCCGGUGUAGCGGUGAAAUGCGCAGAUAUCGGGAGGAACACCGGUGGCGAAGGCGGUUCUCUGGGCCUGACCUGACGCUGAGGAGCGAAAGCGUGGGGAGCGAACAGG
rnacentral:rRNA from 1 species